rnacentral:rRNA from 1 species
UGAGUACGAGAUGCUACGGCAUCGAAGCAGUCUAUGUCAUACUUCCAAGAAAAGCUUGCACUGUCAUAAACAAAGAAUGCCUGUACCAUAACCGACACAGGUGGGUAGGUAGAGUAUACUAAGGGGCGCGAGAUAACUCUCUCUAAACUCGGCAAAAUGACUCCGUAACUUCGGGAGAAGGAGUGCCUUAUUUCUAAGGUUGCAAUAACAAGAUCCAAGCAACUGUUUACCAAAAACACAGGUCUCCGCUAAGUCGUAAGACGAUGUAUGGGGGCUGACGCCUGCCCAGUGCCAGAAGGUUAAAGAAGUUGGUUAGCAUUAGCGAAGCUGAUAACUGAAGCCCUGGUGAACGGCGGCCGUAACUAUAACGGUCCUAAGGUAGCGAAAUUCCUUGUCGGGUAAGUUCCGACCCGCACGAAAGGCGUAAUGAUUUGGAUACUGUCUCGGAGAGGGGCUCGGUGAAAUAGACUUGUCUGUGAAGAUGCGGACUACCUGCACCUGGACAGAAAGACCCUAUGAAGCUUUACUGUAACUUGAGAUUGAAAUUGGACUUUAUUUGCGCAGUAUAGGUGGGAGGCGUUGAGAAUAAUCUUGCGGGAUUGUUGGAGCCAUCAGUGAGAUACCACUCUUGUAAUGUUAGAUUUCUAACUUUGUAUCAUUAUCUGGUCAAAGAACAGUUUCAGGCGGGCAGUUUGACUGGGGCGGUCGCCUCCCAAAGGGUAACGGAGGCGCACAAAGGUUUCCUCUGAACGGGUAGAAAUCGUAUCUAGAGUGUAAAGGCAUAAGGAAGCUUGACUGUGAGACCUACAAGUCGAGCAGGGACGAAAGUCGGUCUUAGUGAUCUGACGGUGCUGAGUGGAAAGGCCGUCACUCAACGGAUAAAGGUUACUCUAAGGAUAACAGGCUGAUCUCCCCCAAGAGUUCACAUCGACGGGGAGGUUUGGCACCUCGAUGUCGGCUCAUCGCAUCCUGGGGCGGUAGUCCGUCCCAAGGGUUGGGCUGUUCGCCCAUGAAAGCGGUACGCGAGCUGGGUUCAGAACGUCGUGAGACAGUUCGGUCCAUAUCCGGUGUAGGCGUUAGAAUAUUGAGAGGAGCCUUCUCUAGUACGAGAGGACCGAGAAGGACAUACCUCUGGUGUACCAGUUAUCGUGCCAACGGUAAACGCUGGGUAGCUAUGUAUGGAGUGGAUAACCGCUGAAAGCAUCUAAGUGGGAAGCCCACCUCAAGAUAAG